rnacentral:rRNA from 1 species
CCUACGGGAGGCAGCAGUGGGGAAUAUUGCACAAUGGGAGAAACAAAAAGACAGCGACGCCGCGUGAGUGAAGAAGUAUUUCGGUAUGUAAAGCUCUGUCAGCAGGGAAGAAAAUGACGGUACCUGACCAAGAAGCCCCGGCUAACUACGUGCCAGCAGCCGCGGUAAUACGUAGGGGGCAAGCGUUAUCCGGAUUUACUGGGUGUAAAGGGAGCGUAGACGGCAGGGCAAGUCUGGAGUGAAAGGCGGGGGCUCAACCCCCGGACUGCUCUGGAAACUGCCAGGCUGGAGUGCAGGAGAGGUAAGUGGAAUUCCUAGUGUAGCGGUGAAAUGCGUAGAUAUUAGGAGGAACACCAGUGGCGAAGGCGGCUUACUGGACUGUAACUGACGUUGAGGCUCGAAAGCGUGGGGAGCAAACAGGAUUAGAUACCCUAGUAGUC